GACAGAGGGUGCAAACGUUGUUCGGAAUUACUGGGCGUAAAGCGUGUGUAGGCUGCUCCGAUAGUCGGAUGUGAAAGCCCUGGGCUCAACCUAGGAAGUGCAUUCGAUACUCCGGAGCUUGAGUCCUGGAGAGGAAGGCGGAAUUCUCGGUGUAGAGGUGAAAUUCGUAGAUAUCGAGAGGAACACCGGUGGCGAAGGCGACUUACUGGACACAUAUUGACGCUGAGGUGCGAAAGCGUGGGGAGCAAACAGG
rnacentral:rRNA from 1 species